rnacentral:rRNA from 1 species
AUUGAACGCUGGCGGCAGGCCUAACACAUGCAAGUCGAACGAGUGGCGGACGGGUGAGUAAUGUCUGGGAAACCGUCCGUUGGAGGGGGAUAACUACUGGAAACGGUAGCUAUUACCGCAUACCAUCGGAUUUGCCCAGAUGGGAUUAGCUUGUAGGUGAGGUAACGGAUCACCAAGGCGACGAUCUCUAGCUGGUCUGAGAGGAUGAUCAGCAACACGGGAACUGAGACACGGCCCAGACGCCUACGUGAGGCAGAAGUGGGGAAUAUUGGACAAUGGGCGAAAGCCUGAUGCAGCCAUGCCGCGUGUAUGAGGAAGGCCUUCGGGUUGUAAAGUACUUUCAGCGGGGAGGCGUUACCCGCAGAAGAAGCACCGGCUAACUCCGUGCCAGCAGCCGCGGUAAUAC